GGAGAGGUGCCAGAGCGGUCGAAUGGGCUCGCCUGGAAAGCGAGUGUGCCUCUAUCGAGGUACCGAGGGUUCGAAUCCCUCCCUCUCCG
rnacentral:tRNA from 2 species